GUUGUGGCUCAGUGGUAGAGUGCUCGCCUAGCAUGCACGAGGUAUUGGGUUCGAUUCUCAGCAACA
rnacentral:tRNA from 1 species